GCGGUGAUAGUUCAUUGGUAGAAUGCGGGCCUGUGGAGCCUGGGAGCCGAGUUCGAUUCUCGGUCACCGCC
rnacentral:tRNA from 1 species